GACGUAGGGCGCGAGCGUUGUCCGGACUUAUUGGGCGUAAAGAGCUCGUAGGCGGCUUGUCGCGUCGAAUGUGAAAACCUGCAGCUCAACUGCAGGCUUGCAUUCGAUACGGGCAGGCUCGAGUUCGGUAGGGGAGACUGGAAUUCCUGGUGUAGCGGUGAAAUGCGCAGAUAUCAGGAGGAACACCGGUGGCGAAGGCGGGUCUCUGGGCCGAUAUUGACGCUGAGGAGCGAAAGCGUGGGGAGCGAACAGG
rnacentral:rRNA from 1 species